GAUGAACGCUGACAGAAUGCUUAACACAUGCAAGUCGAUGGGGAAGUGGUGCUUGCACCAUGGUAACCAUGGCGGACGGGUGAGUAACGCGUAAGGAACUUGCCUGCGGGACUGGGAUAACAGCAGGAAACUGCUGAUAAUACCGGAUAAGGUCAUUAAGCUGCAUAGCUUAGUGAUGAAAGGAGACGCCUGCGGAGAGCCUUGCGUCCUAUUAGCUAGUUGGAGGGGUAACGGCCCACCAAGGCGAAGAUAGGUAGCCGGCCUGAGAGGGUGGACGGCCACAAGGGGACUGAGAUACGGCCCUUACUCCUACGGGAGGCAGCAGUGGGGAAUAUUGGACAAUGGGGGCAACCCUGAUCCAGCAAUUCUGUGUGCACGAAGACGGUUUUCGGAUUGUAGAGUGCUUUCAGCAGGGAAGAAGGAAGUGACGGUACCUGCAGAAGAAGCGACGGCUAAAUACGUGCCAGCAGCCGCGGUAAUACGUAUGUCGCGAGCGUUAUCCGGAAUUAUUGGGCAUAAAGGGCAUCUAGGCGGCCUUUCAAGUCAGGGGUGAAAACCUGCGGCUCAACCGCAGGCCUGCCUUUGAAACUGAUAGGCUGGAGUACCGGAGAGGUGGACGGAACUGCACGAGUAGAGGUGAAAUUCGUAGAUAUGUGCAGGAAUGCCGAUGAUGAAGAUAGUUCACUGGACGGUAACUGACGCUGAAGUGCGAAAGCCGGGGGAGCGAACAGGAUUAGAUACCCUGGUAGUCCAAGGGCGAAUUCCACAUUGGGCUGCAGCCCGGGGGAUCCACUAGUUCUAGAGCGGCCGCACCGCGGGAGCUCCAAUUCGCCCUAUAGUGAGUCGUAUACGCGCGCUCACUGACGUCGUUUACGGAAAAUUCCCGUUUCCCGUUGGGUAAACAAAAAAGCCCCCACCAAUAAAUUUGUGUAUGAAAUUAUCAAAAGGAUCUCCCCGAUCCCCUUAAUAAAAUGAAGUUUAAUCCUCGAGAGA
rnacentral:rRNA from 1 species